rnacentral:rRNA from 1 species
UACGUAGGGUGCGAGCGUUGUCCGGAAUUACUGGGCGUAAAGCGCUCGUAGGUGGUUUGUCGCGUUGUUCGUGAAAACUCACAGCUCAACUGUGGGCGUGCGGGCGAUACGGGCAGACUGGAGUACUGCAGGGGAGACUGGAAUUCCUGGUGUAGCGGUGGAAUGCGCAGAUAUCAGGAGGAACACCGGUGGCGAAGGCGGGUCUCUGGGCAGUAACUGACGCUGGGGAGCGAAAGCGUGGGGAGCGAACAGG